AGAAGGUUAUAAAGCUCUGGCUUCAGCUCUGAAAUUAAACCCUUCACACCUGAUAGAGCUGGAUCUCACAGGAAAUGAUCCUGGACAAUCAGGAGUGAAGGAGCUCAGUGAUUUACUACAGGAUGGACACUGUUCAUUAAAGACCAUCAGGUUUUUGAAAAGUCCUGCUGCAGAGGAAGCAUGUGAUUAUCUCACUGAAGUUCUGGGUUAAAAGUCCAUUAUUACUGACAGAACUGGAUCUGAGUGAAGAUAAAUUAGGAGCUCUAGACUGGGAGAAGCUCUCUGCUCUUUUGAUGGACUCUCAUAGCAAACUGGAGAAAAUUAAGCUGAAUAAUUGUAAGCUGACAGAGAAAGCUGUUCAGUUCUAGCUACUGUUCUCUCCUCUAAAACCAUCCUGAAAGAGAUGAACCUGAAAACAACAGUCGUCUGCUGGACUCAGGAGUCAAAGAGAUCUGUGAGGGACUGAAGAAUCCUGUCUGUGAGCUGAAGAUACUCAAACUUUCAGACUGCAGUAUCAACUGAAGAAAGUUAUAAAGCUCUGGGGUUCAGCUCUGAGAUCAAACCCUUCACACCUGAUAGAGCGGAUCUCCACAGGAAAUGAUCCUGGACAAUCAGGAGUGAAGGAGCUCAAUGAUU